rnacentral:rRNA from 1 species
GAUGAACGCUGGCGGCGUGCCUAAUACAUGCAAGUCGAGCGAACGGACGAGAAGCUUGCUUCUCUGAUGUUAGCGGCGGACGGGUGAGUAACACGUGGAUAACCUACCUAUAAGACUGGGAUAACUUCGGGAAACCGUAGCUAAUACCGGAUAAUAUUUUGAACCGCAUGGUUCAAAAGUGAAAGACGGUCUUGCUGUCACUUAUAGAUGGAUCCGCGCUGCAUUAGCUAGUUGGUAAGGUAACGGCUUACCAAGGCAACGAUGCAUAGCCGACCUGAGAGGGUGAUCGGCCACACUGGAACUGAGACACGGUCCAGACUCCUACGGGAGGCAGCAGUAGGGAAUCUUCCGCAAAGGGCGAAAGCCUGACGGAGCAACGCCGCGUGAGUGAUGAAGGUCUUCGGAUCGUAAAACUCUGUUAUUAGGGAAGAACAUAUGUGUAAGUAACUGUGCACAUCCUGACGGUACCUAAUCAGAAAGCCACGGCUAACUACGUG